rnacentral:rRNA from 1 species
CAACCCUUGUCCUUAGUUACCAGCACGUUAUGGUGGGCGACUCUAAGGAGGCUGCCGGUGCAAACCGGAGGAAGGUGGGGAUGACGUCAAGUCAUCAUGGCCCUUACGGCCUGGGCUACACACGUGCUACAAUGGUCGGUACAAAGGGUUGCCAAGCCGCGAGGUGGAGCUAAUCCCAUAAAACCGAUCGUAGUCCGGAUCGCAGUCUGCAACUCGACUGCGUGAAGUCGGAAUCGCUAGUAAUCGUGAAUUAGAAUGUCACGGUGAAUACGUUCCCGGGCCUU